CCAGAUCAUCAUUAUAAAAAAAAAAAAAAACAAACGAGUACCAACACAACAAUUAAUGAAAACCUAAAACAUCCCUACCUAACGGUAAAGAAUAGCAAAGACACUUUAGGGAAAAACAAACAAAAUCUCGGUAGUUGGGGGGGAAUGAAGCAUCAAAACCAGAGAAGUGCAUCCCCUUCAACCCCAAAGCAAAUUAUGCAUGUUAAAACUCCAGCUUCCAGCUUGCAAGAGCAAAAUAGACUCAUAAUUCUUUAAUCUGGUAGUGUCAGGUUCCAAAUCUCACCGUUCACCACAACGAUCGCCACCUCAGUGCGAGAGUAGCCCUUGACUUCAAUCUGUCGAAAGUCCAUCUUCGCCGCAAAUUUGAUGGCCUGCAGACAUGCAAGGGCUUCAGCAGAAAAAGAAUCGGAAACAUAACCAUUCAUGAUAUCCCCGCCGCCAAUGACUAGUCCCAGACCAUUUCUAAUAACAAACCCCAAACUGGAUUGGUGAAUAUGGGGUUUGAAAGCUGCAUCAAAAUUUAAUUUGACCACCGGGUCCUAGGGAGGUUGCCAUCGUUGCAACAUAGUAUCUCUUGGAGCAGGUAACUUCUGGUUUAACUCUUUCAUUUCAUUGGCAAGGCUAAAAACUCUAGAGCUAAUAUCCCUGACUGUUUGUUGUUUACCCUCCAUAACAUACUUAUUACGGGCCUGCCAAAGAGUCCAAAUUGUAAGGGCGAUAAAAUUUAUUGCGUUGCUAUCAGCAGACAAAAAAAUUGAGGAAAACCACUGUCAAAAACCCUCCUCAAUAACUGUAACGGGAUUUAUGCAAGUGUAUUUAGUCGUUCAAGUAAUAAGCAAGUAAAAAUGAAUAUCGUCUCUACAA